CCUGUUGAAGCAGGUUGAUUUUCAGGAUCCAGGGAAUAGGAAGGUGGGCAGUGGAGGAGCAGUUGACGUAACAGCUGUGGGAGAGAUCCAGCGAAGCUCUUUAGUGAUUGUGACUUGUUUGGUGUAAGUGUUCUCAUACCUGCUAGCUGGCUAAGAAUUCCCAUAAGACCUUUAACACUUCAGCACAGUGAACAGAAGUGAGAGCACCGGAGGCUGUGGACCAUGCAAGAGCCUGGAUCAUCUCACGUGGGAGGACUUGGAGCCGAAAGCGUUGAGAUGACCGCUCCACGCAAAAGCUAAACAUGAUGUUUCCCAGCACGCUAACACUCUGAUAAAGAGUUAAAACAGCUAUCGAUUCUCUCGGGAGUGUGGUGGUGGUUACUGAGGUCCUAAGUGAUCCCACGAACACCUUACAAAGACAACUUGAUCCUUACUCGCCGAGGUGAGAACUUUUGGAGUCCUGUGACCUGAGUCACUCCUUAGCAGCCACGCAAGGUAGGAAAGUCGGGUAGGCGAGGUCAAGUGCCCUGUGGUGAAAAAUUUCACAUUUGAUAUUGGGAGACACACAAAAGGGGUGGAAGGAUGACAAAUGUUUAAAAAAAAAGAAACCGCUUGGAAUUAGAUAAUGGGUCAAAUUGCAUUGGGGUUCAGCUACAUUUUUCCUUAAAAGAGGCCAGAAAGAUAGAUUUUCCUUUUCUUGAGUGAGAGAGGAGGAAUGUAAGCUGUUUCUAGAGGAGGAGGUUGGCCUUUUUCUGGGUUGGAGGGUGAAAGAAAGCCAGAGAGGGGCAUCUUCAGAGAAGCAGCACAGAGCAGAGAGGAUUGUUGGCCAGAGUCUUGCAAAGACUUGCAAGACUUGCAGAGCGUCGUGUGAAAGAUGGUUGUCCUUUAAGAGGUUGUUAGUCUAUAA